CAGUCUACCCAUCCAAAUGCUAAUCGCAUCUAAAAACACCCUCACAGACACAUCCAGAAUAAUGUUUGGCUAAGUGUCUGAGUACACCAUGGCCCAGUCGGGUUGACAUAUAAAAUAAAAUAUCACGGCAUGAAAAUGCUGUGAAAGGGAACUUAUGCUUUCUAAGAACACCCGGAGCAGAUGCAUAUAUUCACUUGACAAGCAUUUCCAAGCUCCAAAUCAGGAGAAAUUACUUUUUAACUUGAUGGAUAAAAAAAUUGAUACUAUUUUCAAGGAUCUCCUAGUUCAAUAAGAGAAACAGAGAUUAUUUGGGAAACUGCACAUUGCAACACAAUAGAGUUAUAUACAGGAUGCUGAAGGCACACAGACAAGGUGCCUGAAGGGAGCUGGAGCUGGGUUCUUGGAAGAGGUGAUAUAUGAUCUGUGUCAUAAAGGGACAACAAAACAGCACAAACAAGAAAUUACAAGUAGCAACAAAAUAAGGCAUUUAGCACCAAUGAAAUAAUAGCUCUAUGCACCAAUAUCUGGCAUUCAGUAAAUGUUAACCCUGGUCUGCCUUUACCUUUUCCCUUACUGUUGCUAUACUUUCUUUGCAGAGAUCAUGAGGUUUGCAAAUGUUAUACAAUAUUUGGUUAACAGAGAAGCACUACCAUAUAAUUCACUACUCUUAAAGAAGUCAUUUUUGCCUUGUAGAAACUGUACCUUAACAGAUGUUUCUGAGAGAAUUUAUUCAUCAUAUCAAGCAUUGCCUUGCAAUGUGGGAUGCUUUUCAAAAGCCCCUUUUGGGUGAACAGAUUGUGUUGCUGCUGAGUGAAUUCACAGGAAUGAGGCAAUCACUGUAAUUCAAACAAUUUCUCCUCAUUUAAGAGCACCAACUGUUUAUAUUAGUACUGACGUGAUCCAUUUAUGAAGCAUCUUAGCACAGUUGUCUCUGAAAAUUUUGGCUGUCAAAUGGUCAUCAGAACUGAGUUGGCUCUAAUUGCAAGCAAGAGCCCUUUGAUCUCUUUAUCAAAACCCUUACUGAAUAGCCACCAUGUUUGGGUUCAAUUGAAGGACUUGUGUGUGAUACCACUACAUGAGAAAAAUGUGGCCUCUUUUUUAUUCACUGAGCAGCGUUAUCAGAAUGCAGACCACAAUAUGCUGGCACUAGGGAUAUGGGGAUAAAUGAGAUACCCCACAACCAAGCAGUUCUCAGACUAAUAAAAGAGAGAGAUACAUAAAUGAAUUAUCACAUCAGAAAUUGCUCAUUUAAGCAACAUAUAUAGGAAUGGUGAUGUGCAGAGGAACGAAUCCUUUUUAUUGUAGAAAUUCACUAUGUAGAGAGAAGAAGAAAAGAAAUUUUAGAUAAUGGGGACCGCAUUGCCCUAGGAAAAUGUAGUAGGAAUCACUGUAUUUCAUUGAGAAAAAAGAAAAUGGGUUGGUAUAGUUGCAAUAUAUUGGAGAAGGGUAGGAGAUGAUGUUGAGAAGGCAGCCAAGGACUAAGUUAUACUUUGGAAUUGUG
rnacentral:lncRNA from 1 species